rnacentral:lncRNA from 1 species
AUUUAGCUGUGUAAACACAGAGCUUCAGUGGCAGCACCCUAAAUGCUUAGCUGAUAGAUCCGGAAUUAAAUACAGACCUAGAAACUGGAGUUGGAAAACUUCCUGGCAGCACUCCUUCCCUGCCAUCCCGGUGAUCCCCUUCUGGAUGGAGGGUGUGGAGCUCAGCACAUUCACGUCUGCAGCACAAGAAUGGAAUAGUACAGUGGCUACGAACACAGAAACCACACUCCAGGCCCAGUCCCCGGCAGUGGCCUCCAGGACCCACUCUGAGCUAGAUCACAUCAGUGAUGGGCUGGCCAAUCUUUAAGGAGAAUGACUCUACUCUUAGGAAGCCAGCAGGUUGGAGGAGGAAACACAUUCAAAUCCCGAGCACAAGGAGCUGGGAGAAGACCGGUUAUGGGAGCGGCAUUCCUGGAAGCUCUGAAGUCACAGCCCCACUGAUGAAAG